AUAAAGUUGAAGCUGCACACUCAAUAUAUGUCAUUAUAAUAUUUUAAUUAAUUAAUAGUGACUUUAAUAUGAAUAAAGACUUAAAGCAGAUUUCAACACAAUCUUCUGGUACUGUCUAUCCCUAGGGCAUUAACAUGACCCUCUUCCUUGGAGCUGAAGGUUUUUGGUGUGUGGCCCUCCAGAGCCCUCUCCACCCUCCUCUGCUCUGCUGACCCAGUGGCCUGGGAGGCUGACCUUCAUGGAUUAUUGUAUCAUAUGGGUUUCCUUGGUCUCUGUUUCAUUUUAGGGUUUGGCCAAUGGAAAGUAUCAGCAGAAAUUAAGAGGAUGAAAGAAAAGAGUGUGUUAUUUAUUCUCCAGCUCACCCCCUGUAGAUUGGCAGUGGCUGCUUUCCUCUACCAAAGGGCCCAGUUAAGUCAGACAGCCUCUGCUAAACUACAAGUCUCUCUAGGGUCCAGUAAGUGCUCCCUUCCCUUGCCUCCUUAGGCCUAAGGAUGGUCAUAGCUCUCUGCAGCUACUGGCUCCAGAAUGCCCCCCUAAUCCUGCUUGCACCUUUGUAAAUAGCCCCUUCAUUAAUCUUUCUUCAAUCACUCCUUUGGAGUAAGCAAUUAGUCUACUACAUGGACUCAGAUGACUACGCUAUUUUUAUUUUUAUUUUUUGAGACAGUCUUGCUCUGUCACCCAGGCUGGAGUGCAGUGGUGUGAUCUCGGCUCACUGCAGCCUCUGACUCCUGGGUUCAAGCAAUUCUCCUGCCUCAGCCUCCCAAGUAGCUGGGAUUAUAGGCGAGUGCUACCACACCCGGCUAAUUUUUGUAUUUUUAGUAGAGACGGGGUUUCACCAUGUUGGCCAGGCUGGUCUCAAACUCCGGACCUAAUGAUCUGCCCACCUUGGCCCCCCAAAGUGCUGGGAUUACAGAUAUGAGCCACAGUGCCCAGCCCAGAUGACUACACUUUAUGAGGGUGAUGUUGCUGUUCUAGUCUCUUUCUAAUGACAAACGGAUCUUAAGUUGCUCAGGUGACUACAUUUCAGUCCUUUUCUCUCAUUGUCUCCAUACUGUCUUCUCUUUUCAUUCCCCUCCUGUCCCGAGCUGUUCUCAGCAAUAACUUCACUAAUGUUUACCCAUGCCUGUGCAAAAGCCAGCACUCCCAGAAAGUCCUAGCAUUCUCCAACUCUCUACAAAAAGGGUCUUGGCUUUUGUUUUCUUUCAGAAUAUUUAUAUUUUAAGCAUGGAGAGCUUUAAAAAAGAAUCAGCUACUAAAUUUUCUUUAAAAUGACUAUCCCACACCUGUCACCCUGUUUAUUCUCUUUUUUUUCAUAAUUACACAUUUGUUUUAUUCCACAUUAUACAUACAACAGUCUCAGAACAAUAAUGCCAAUACCACCACCGCUCAUGUAAUUACUGAAAACAGCUAAAUCAUUUUUGUAUAUACUUUCUUCAUCUUCCCCACUUUUAAAAAAUAGAUGUAUAGCACAAUUGCACUGUAUCAACAAUGUUAAUGCAUAUAUAAUCCUUGCAUACAAUAUGCUUUUAUAAUUCUCAUCUAAUCUUAGUUCUUUUUUUUUUUAUUGAUCAUUCUUGGGUGUUUCUCACAUAGGGGGAUUUGGCAGGGUCAUAGGACAAUAGUGGAGGGAAGGUCAACAGAUAAACAAGUGAACAAAGGUCUCUGGUUUUCCUAGGCAGUGGACCCUGCGGCCUACCGCAGUGUUUGUGUCCCUGGGUACUUGAGAUUAGGGAGUGGUGAUGACUCUUAACGAGCAUGCUGCCUUCAAGCAUCUGUUUAACAAAGCACAUCUUGCACCACCCUUAAUCCAUUUAACCCUGAGUGGACACAGCACAUGUUUCAGAGACCACUGGGUUGGGGGUAAGGUCACAGAUCAACAGCAUCCCAAGGCAGAAGAACCUUUCCCAGUACAGAACAAAAUGGAGUCUCCCAUGUCCACUUCCCUCUACACAGACACAGCAACAAUCUGAUUUCUCCAUCCUUUCCCCACAUUUCCCCCCUCUCCAUUUGACAGAACCGCCAUCAUCAUCAUGGCCCGCUCUCAAUGAGCCACUGGGCACACCUCCCAGACAGGGCGGCAGCUGGGCAGAGGGGCUCCUCACCUUCCAGAAGGGGCGGCCGGGCAGAGGCGCCCCCCCACCUCCCUCCCGGACGGGGCGGCUGGCCGGGUGGGGGCUGCCCCCUACCUCCCUCCCGGGCGGGGUGGCUGGCCGGGCGGGGGCUGCCCCCCACCUCCCAGAUGGGGUGGCUGCCGGGCGGAGGGGCUCCUCACUUCUCAGACGGGGCGGCUGCUGGGCGGAGGGGCUCCUCACUUCUCAGACGGGGCAGCUGCCGGGCGGACGGGCUCCUCACUUCUCAGACAGGGCGGCCGGGCAGAGACGCUCCUCACCUCCCAGACGGGGUCGCGGCCGGGCAGAGGCGCUCCUCACAUCCCAGACGGGGCGGCGGGGCAGAGGCGCUCCCCACAUCUCAGACGAUGGGCAGCCGGGCAGAGAUGCUCCUCACUUCCUAGACAGGAUGGCAGCUGGGAAGAGGCGCUCCUCACUUCCCAGACUGGGCAGCCGGGCAGAGGGGCUCCUCACAUCCCAGACAAUGGGCGGCCAGGCAGAGAUGCUCCUCACUUCCCAGAUGGGGUGGCGGCUGGGCAGAGGCUGCAAUCUCGGCACUUUGGGAGGCCAAGGCAGGUGGCUGGGAGGUGGAGGUUGUAGCUAGCCGAGAUCACGCCACUGCACUCCAGCCUGGGCAACAUUGAGCACUGAGUGAACAAGACUCCGUCUGCAAUCCCGGCACCUCGGGAGGCCGAGGCUGGCAGAUCACUCGUGGUUAGGAGCUGG
rnacentral:lncRNA from 1 species